AUUGAACGCUGGCGGUAUGCUUAACACAUGCAAGUCGAACGGUAACAGGCCUUCGGGCGCUGACGAGUGGCGGACGGGUGAGUAACGCGUAGGAAUCUGCCUUAUAGUGGGGGACAACGUGGGGAAACCCACGCUAAUACCGCAUACGCUCCUUGUUGCAAGAUGGGGAGGAAAGCGGGGGAUCUUCGGACCUCGCGCUAUCAGAUGAGCCUGCGUUAGAUUAGCUAGUUGGUGGGUAAAGCCUACCAAGGCGACGAUCUAUAGCUGGUCUGAGAGGACGAUCAGCCACACUGGGACUGAGACACGGCCCAGACUCCUACGGGAGG
rnacentral:rRNA from 1 species